UGUCACCCAGUUGGUUCAUUUACAAUAUGAGAUUGCUGACAUGAGCUUAUCUUGGAGUUUUGCCCAGUCUGUGUUAAUAUCACUUUAAUUUAUGGGCGUCGGAAGCAAAAACAAUGUGGUCAUGCAGCAGGCGAAAGUAUUGAAAACACGAAAUGUAGUUUAAUUUAUAUGGACUCUAAAUGAGUCAAGGGGAAUGGAUUUGAGGAAGCAGCAGGCUGAAGCUAAAACGCGGAACAGAGUUUAUUUUAUUAGGGGAUUCCUCGAGUGGAAUGGAUUUGACAGACGGCGCAAAGACAAGUGAACUAACAAAUGCGCUAAAUUUGAGAAAAGGUCCAUUACAAUGUAAGAUGAAAAGGCAUGUCUGGUUUAGCCCCACAGUCUCAGAAAAAGUUUAUAACAUUUAAUUAGAUUACAAGAUCUAUUUUUGAAGACAAUUAAAAUUCUAUAAUAAAUU